UAAGUUGAUGGUUGCAGGCUUAUCGGUC
rnacentral:sRNA from 1 species